AUUGAACGCUGGCGGCAUGCCUUACACAUGCAAGUCGAACGGCAGCACGGGUGCUUGCACCUGGUGGCGAGUGGCGAACGGGUGAGUAAUACAUCGGAACAUGUCCUGUAGUGGGGGAUAGCCCGGCGAAAGCCGGAUUAAUACCGCAUACGAUCUACGGAUGAAAGCGGGGGACCUUCGGGCCUCGCGCUAUAGGGUUGGCCGAUGACUGAUUAGCUAGUUGGUGGGGUAAAGGCCUACCAAGGCGACGAUCAGUAGCUGGUCUGAGAGGACGACCAGCCACACUGGGACUGAGACACGGCCCAGACUCCUACGGGAGGCAGCAGUGGGGAAUUUUGGACAAUGGGCGAAAGCCUGAUCCAGCAAUGCCGCGUGUGUGAAGAAGGCCUUCGGGUUGUAAAGCACUUUUGUCCGGAAAGAAAUCCUUGGCCCUAAUACGGUCGGGGGAUGACGGUACCGGAAGAAUAAGCACCGGCCAACUACGUG
rnacentral:rRNA from 1 species